AUUGAACGCUGGCGGCAUGCUUUACACAUGCAAGUCGAGCGGCAGCGCGGGGGCAACCCUGGCGGCGAGCGGCGAACGGGUGAGUAACGCAUCGGAACGUAUCCUGGAGUGGGGGAUAACCCAGCGAAAGUUGGGCUAAUACCGCAUGAGCUCUGAGGAGGAAAGCGGGGGACCUGCAAGGGCCUCGCGCUGCAGGAGCGGCCGAUGACCGUGUAGCUAGUUAGUGAGGUAAAGGCUCCCCAAGGCGACGAUCGGUAGCUGGUCUGAGAGGAUGAUCAGCCACACUGGGACUGAGACACGGCCCAGACUCCUACGGGAGGCAGCAGUGGGGAAUUUUGGACAAUGGGGGCAACCCUGAUCCAGCCAUGCCGCGUGAGUGAAGAAGGCCUUCGGGUUGUAAAGCUCUUUCGGACGGAACGAAAUGGUCACGGUCAAUACCCGUGACUGAUGACGGUACCGUAAGAAGAAGCACCGGCUAACUACGUGCCAGCCGCCGCCGUAACAC
rnacentral:rRNA from 1 species